AAUGGAAUGUCUGGAUAGUAUGGUAGGUGUAUGUUUAACUUUUAAAGAAACUGCCAAACUGUUUUCCAAAGUAGCUAUACCAUUUUUAAUUCCCACCAGCAAU
rnacentral:pre_miRNA from 1 species